rnacentral:tRNA from 1 species
GGUCCGUUGGUCAAGGGGUUAAGACACCGCCUUUUCACGGCGGUAACACGGGUUCGAAUCCCGUACGAACUA